AUGGUAGGAUAGAGGCCUACCAUGGUGGUAACGGGUAACGGGGUGUUAGGGCACGACACCGGAGAGGGAGCCUGAGAAACGGCUACCACAUCCAAGGAAGGCAGCAGGCGCGCAAAUUACCCAAUCCCGACACGGGGAGGUAGUGACAAUAAAUAACAAUACAGGGUUCUUUGAAUCUUGUAAUUGGAAUGAGUACAAUUUAAAUCUCUUAACGAGGAACAAUUGGAGGGCAAGUCUGGUGCCAGCAGCCGCGGUAAUUCCAGCUCCAAUAGCGUAUAUNAAAGUUGUUGCAGUUAAAAAGCUCGUAGUUGAAUUUCGGGAUCAAUACGACGGUCGUGCUUUCGGGUACGUACUGGCGUCAUUGGUUUCUCCUUUCUGACGAACCAUGAUGUCAUUAAUUUGGUGUUAUGGGGAGUUAGGACUGUUACUUUGAAAAAAUUAGAGUGUUUAAAGCAGGCAUUAGCUUGAAUACAUUAGCAUGGAAUAAUGAAAUAGGACGUUCGAUCCUAUUUUGUUGGUUUCUAGGAUCAACGUAAUGAUUAAUAGGGAUAGUUGGGGGCAUUAGUAUUCAAUUGUCAGAGGUGAAAUUCUUGGAUUUAUUGAAGACUAACUACUGCGAAAGCAUUUGCCAAGGAUGUUUUCAUUAAUCAAGAACGAAAGUUAGGGGAUCGAAGACGAUCAGAUACCGUCGUAGUCUUAACCAUAAACUAUGCCGACUAGGGAUCGGAUGAUGUUAAUUUUUUAAUGACUCAUUCGGCGCCUUACGGGAAACCAAAGUGUUUGGG
rnacentral:rRNA from 1 species